rnacentral:lncRNA from 1 species
UAGGAGUCAUCUACAUGAGUCCAUGAAUCACAAUCAGAAGUCCUGGUCCAGGAAAUCAGCACAGUAUGCUAGUACUGCACUGAUCCUUCUUCGAUGGUCGAUCAGAUGCCUCCUUCUUAUUGAUUUGGACUCUUCUAAAGAUGAGAAGUAGGAGAAGGAGUUUUAGAUGAGACACUCUCAGAAAACUUACAGAUGGAAGAAGGGAAGAGAUGAACCCAACA